GCCGCGGUAUUUUGACCGUGCAAAGGUAGCGCAAUCACUUGUCUCUUAAAUAGAGACCUGUAUGAAUGGCUAGACGAGGGCUUAACUGUCUCCCCCUUCCAGUCAGUGAAAUUGAUCUAUCCGUGCAGAAGCGGGUAUAAUUAUACAAGACGAGAAGACCCUUUGGAGCUUAAGGUACAAAGUUCAACCACGUUAAACGACUCCACAGAAAGCAAGAACUUAGUGGCAAAUGAAACUUUACCUUCGGUUGGGGCGACCACGGAGGAGAAGAAAGCCUCCGAGUGGACUGGGCUAAAUCCCCAAAGCCAAGAGAUACAUCUAUAAGCCGCAGAACAUCUGACCAAGAAUGAUCCGACUGAAAGGCCGAUCAACGAACCAAGUUACCCUAGGGAUAACAGCGCAAUCCUCUCCCAGAGUCCAUAUCGACGAGGGGGUUUACGACCUCGAUGUUGGAUCAGGACAUCCUAAUGGUGCAGCCGCUAUUAAGGGUUCGUUUGUUCAACGAUUAAAGUCCUACGUGAUCU
rnacentral:rRNA from 1 species